GGGGUUAUGGCUCAGAGGUAGAGCAUGCUCUUGGCAUGCGUGAGGCACUGGGUUCAAUCCUCAGAACCACA
rnacentral:tRNA from 1 species